AACGAACGCUGGCGGCAUGCCUAACACAUGCAAGUCGAACGAGACCUUCGGGUCUAGUGGCGCACGGGUGCGUAACGCGUGGGAACCUGCCCUUAGGUUCGGAAUAACUCCCCGAAAGGGGUGCUAAUACCGGAUAAUGUCUUCGGACCAAAGAUUUAUCGCCUUUGGAUGGGCCCGCGUUGGAUUAGCUAGUUGGUAGGGUAAAAGCCUACCAAGGCGACGAUCCAUAGCUGGUCUGAGAGGAUGAUCAGCCACACUGGGACUGAGACACGGCCCAGACUCCUCCGGGGGGCAGCAGGGGGGAAUAUUGGAAAAUGGGCGAAAGCCUGAUCCAGCAAUGCCGCGUGAGGGAUGAAGGCUUUGGGGUUUUAAAGCUUUUUUCCCCGGGAUGAUAAUGACAGUACCGGGAGAAAAAACCCCGGCUAACCCCGU
rnacentral:rRNA from 1 species